rnacentral:rRNA from 1 species
UUCCAGACUCCUACGGGAGGCAGCAGUGGGGAAUCUUCCGCAAUGGGCGCAAGCCUGACGGAGCAAUGCCGCGUGAACGAAGAAGGUCUUCGGAUUGUAAAGUUCUGUCCUUAUCGAAGAGAGGGUAUAGAGUGAAAAAUGAUAUACUAGGACGGUAGAUGAGGAGGAAGCCCCGGCUAACUACGUGCCAGCAGCCGCGGUAAUACGUAGGGGGCGAGCGUUAUCCGGAUUUACUGGGUGUAAAGGGAGCGUAGACGGCAGUGCAAGUCUGGGGUGAAAGGCGGGGGCUCAACCCCCGGACUGCUCUGGAAACUGUACGGCUGGAGUGCAGGAGAGGUAAGUGGAAUUCCUAGUGUAGCGGUGAAAUGCGUAGAUAUUAGGAGGAACACCAGUGGCGAAGGCGGCUUACUGGACUGUAACUGACGUUGAGGCUCGAAAGCGUGGGGAGCAAACAGGAUUAGAUCCCCUAGUA